rnacentral:rRNA from 1 species
CCUACGGGCGGCAGCAGUGGGGAAUAUUGCACAAUGGGGGAGACCCUGAAGCAGCGAAGCCGCGUGAGUGAGGAAGUAUUUCGGUAUGUAAAGCUCUAUCAGCAGGGAAGAAAAUGACGGUACCUGACUAAGAAGCACCGGCUAAAUACGUACCAGCAGCCGCGGUAAUACGUAGGGGGCAACCGUUAUCCGGAUUUACUGGGUGUAAAGGGGACGUAGAGGGUUAAUCAAGUCAGAAGUGAAAACCCAGGGCUCAACCUUAGGACUGCGUUUGAAACUGGGUAGCGAGAGUGCAGGAGAGGUAAGCGGAAUUCCUAGUGUAGCGGUGAAAUGCGUAGAUAUUAGGAGGAACACCAGUGGCGAAGGCGGCUUACUGGACUGUAACUGACGUUGAGGCUCGAAAGCGUGGGGAGCAAACAGGAUUAGAUACCCUGGUAGUC